UGGAGAGGUGGCUGAGUGGUCGAAAGCGGCAGAUUGCUAAUCUGUUGUACGGAUCGAAAGGCCGUACCGAGGGUUCGAAUCCCUCCCUCUCCGU
rnacentral:tRNA from 1 species